UCCUAUUAUUGCCACCUGGCCUUCUAUCGUUCCUUCUUGAAUCAAUUUGAGCGGUAAAACCACACAAUGCGUCCGCUCUUUUUUUAGCAGCUUUCUUUAAACCCUAAUUUCAGUUUCAUAUCCUGCCUCUUUCCAUCCUCUAUCUUUUUCUCUUUCUUGUGCGUUCAGUCCUUCAUCUACCUAACCCUUAUCACUAUCCCAUUCCAUCUACAGUCAAUAAGACCCUAUAUAUCUUUGAUUCAUCGAUUGUAACCUUCGAGUUUGGAAUAUAUGAGUAUACAACCCAAGAAAUAAAGAGAGAAGGAGAUGCGAUAGUGGCCAGGAACAGGGGUUAAAGCGAUGUCAGAUCAAUCAUUUAGGGUUCUGACCGAGGAUUUCAAGCGUUGAGCUGUAAUCCGGGUUCUAAAUUUCAAGUUGAAAGAUGGAAAGGGAUUUCAUGGGUUUGAAUUCAAAAGAUUUAAAGGUCAUGGUCAAAGAUGAAGCUGUUGAUGUAUGCAAAGAAUCGGGUUCUUUUUCUUGCAUUUUUUUUCAAUUUUAUUGACCUAAUUUGAACCUUUUCUGUUUGCUUAACCAAGUAAACGUUUUAAAGUUUGUUGAGAAAUGAUAUGUUUCAAUUUUAUUGACCUAAUUUUUUUUUUAAGUUUUUUUUUUCAUAUGGGUCAUUCAUUUUCAGAUGUAUUCAGCAGUCAUUAGUUGAUUUGAUACCUAAUUAUUCUUGAAUCUGAUUAUUUCAUCUUGAAUUUGUAACACCGAUUAUUGUCUUGACUUUGUGGAGGAGGGGUCGUAUGAUGAAACUGGUGGUUGAAGAGGAUGCCGAUAUGGGUUAUGUGUGGAAGGCUACUAAGUAUUUUAGCUCUUCCAGUUUGUGAUUACUGUGUGGAAGGCUUUCACGGAUUUUAGGGUUGACGGAGGUAUCUUUUUUGUCAAUCAGAUCGAAGAUUAAGGGGUGGUAACUUCUAUGGCAACACCUUCGGUGGCAGUUAAUGGAGGUCGAGUUGGAGUGACUUUACGGCGAUAGAAACUAACAUGGCGUUGUGAAGAUUUCUGGCGAGACGUUAGGGUUCCGACGAGCCCUUUCAGUGCAAGAGUGCCAUCUCAGUCAAAAAGUUUCAUUGGUUACAAUGAUUUGUGAGAUCUGAACCGUUUAUGUGUGUUGGUGUGUCGCUGAUGAUGUCGGAAGCUAUAAAGUCGCUUGCUGUUUGCAAAUGCAUUGCUAGGUGCUAAGGUUCAACUAUUUUCAAGGUUUUUUUCUUACCAACCUCAUAACUUAUCACGUCGAGUCGCGUUGUUGAUUUGAACAAAUACACAUGUGAAAGCUUCAAGUCGAAUCAUCCAGAGACAGCUAAAGCUUCAUAUGGAGUUCUUGAUGCAAAUGUCCCACCAACAUAUGCUCUUGCAUCAUUCUCAGCCAUCCAUUUUGAUCUUAUUAGGAAGUGAGUUGCCACAUAGAUGGAACAUUGUGCACCUGGCAGCUUGAGGCUGGAGGAAGAAGCAAAGUUUGUUCAUCUGAAUUCUCUUGGUUUUAACAACUGCAUGUCGGAUGUGACAUAUGUUACUUCGAGUGGAUCAAUUGUGGUUGCGUUAGGUUAUUGCUCCAAUAACGUUAAUGUUGUAAUAUGGGAUACACUUAUUCCACGGACUACAUCCCGAGCUUCCAUCAUGUGUCAUGAAGAUGGUGCGAGGUUCAUUAAGCAGUUCAGUUUCUCCCCUAAUCAUGAAAGGUAGAAAAGGCGAAGAUGUUGGAGUUCAUGAUUUUCGUUUCGUAGCCAGUCGAAGACAAAAAAUGCAUAAGAAUUCUGAGAACAAUUAACAAAAAUUCAAUGCAUAAUGAACAUACGAAUCAAAUGUGAAUCAAAUGUGAAAUGAGAUUUUGCGGUGCAUAACAAAGGCCCAAUCUGGUAUACUUUUUUAUUUUUCCCAUUCGGCCCGUUACAUUAAAACUUAACCCUGAUUGACACGUUUAUAAGUUUUAACGUUCUGUUUGUAAGGAGUGUUACUAGAAUAUCAGCUAUGCCAAAUACUAUAUUUUUCUUAACUGGAAGUAAAGAUGGGGAUGUAAAGCUUUGGGAUGCUAAGAGGCAAAAACUGGUAUAUCAUUGGCCAAAAUGAUCGACAACCUUCAUUCAACCUACCGCAAGAGGAAGGUUGAAUAAUGGGAUAAGGUGUACACUUAAAUUUUAAAUUAAAGUUUGAAACACUGCAGGCUACUGCGAUAGUCUGAUAGAUAUUGUACUGAUUGCAAUUCGUGAGGUAUUGGGUGUUCCAAGGGAAGCACUGAAUUAGCGGGAAAGGGCUGGGUUGAAAAGUACUACAUUGGCUCAUUGUCUAUUAAAUACUUAUUUCUGAAAUCGGCCCCUUCCGACCAUUACCUGCCUUUUAGUCAAUCGGCUCAUUCUGACCCGGACCCGUCUUGACCCAGCAUGCUACCCGCUCCGCAAUUUUUGUUUGGUCUAAUGUUGAGCAUGGUAACUGUGUGGCGGGUUUUAACGGGUCACAAUAUCAAACAGGUAAAAAAUAUAUAAAAAAGACUAAAGACUAAAAACUAAAAUCGUAUGUUUUGUAUGAGAACUGGUAUGCUUUACUUCUACUUCCAAUUUUGACUCUUGCAUUGGACUAGGAUCAAAUACUACAAACUUUAGUUUCAUAGAGAAAUCCAGAUUAUCUUGGUUCAAAAAAGUAGGAAAUUUGACCCAAAAAAGUCAAAGCGUACAUGACUUUUUGAACAUAGGUUAGACUUUUAAGUUUUAAUCAUUGCUGGAAUAAGCCUCCUUCCAAUAUUGCAUAUAUUUGGUUCUGUUUACUGACUUCUUUAAGUUUUUGAUUGUAGAUCACCAGAACAGGCUUGAUUCUCAUAAAACCUCUUGCAUUAUGUGAAGAAAGUAUAAGGCGCCUUCGCUUGUGCUUUAACUCCAUACAUUAUUUAACAAAACAAAUUUUAGACUAUGAUUUUUAGAAAAAAUAAGCUUAAAAAGAUUAGGACAACUUUGAGUAAUUGGAUUCACCAUUUGAAGUAUCUUUUUGUUUGGCUUUAUUAUAGAAUUGCUUCAUUUAUUAUUACUAUACUUUUUUGUAUGAUUAAUGGAAGCAUCUAUUUUACAAUAAUGAUAUGGUUGGUGAUCGUGAUCAAACGGGUCAUUUUAAAAAGAAAAAAUAAGGGGGCCAUUGUCAUUAAGUUGCAUCCCUUAUGUGAUUUAAUUACUUAAAAUAAUGUUGAUUCAAGUUAUUGAUGGAUACUUUUAGGUUGUGAAUUGUCGUAUAUGUGGUGACCCUAAUUCGGUUAUUUUUACGUUUAUUGAGUUUAUUGACGAGGGUAUGUAAACAUAACCGUUUAUACUCGGUUAAACAUAUAUAGCUUGUGUUACAUUGUGGGUUUGUAAUGUGCUUGCAGAAGGUGCAAGGAAUGCGUUGAGCCUUCCUGGUACUAUGCUCGGUUACUACCCGGUUCAUAAACAGUUCUAACUAAAAAUGAAUGGACAGGUGUACUUCUUGACAAACGGAGGAAACGAGACGUACGAUGAUGUUCGAAUGAAUUCGUUAGAAGAAGCAAAGAAUCUGGCCAUAUCGGGCAGAUUAGACGGCGUUGUCUCAGAAGUAAAGGGUAUAUUUAGAAACCCUUCAGUAGUAAGAGAAAUUAAAGAAUCAAAUCUAUCCACAUCGAUUUUGCCAUUUUAAGUGUCGUUGCAGGUUUAAAAACAGGAUUGGAAGAAGGAGGAUUGCAGGGGAAAGAGAAGACAGAUAAGAAAUCAGAGCAUCUAACGUAAUCUUCACAGUCAAGGACAACAACCCGAUCGGCGCAACAUUGAUCGGUCGAGCUUACAUGCCCGUUAGCGAGCUCACUUAAGGCGAUGAGGUCGAUAAAUGGCUCGAAAUCAUGGACGAAAACAAAAAUCCCAUACCAGCUCGAGCCAAAAUUCACAUCAAACGACUCCACAUAGUUGGCGGGUAUAUGUUAACCGAGCCUACGAAUUGGAUUGUUUGGGGCAGUUAAGAAAUGAUAAGGGGGCUGCCAAAAUAGUGGUGGUAGUUCAUGUUCAAUAACCAAAGAGAUGAGAGGCAUUAGAGGUGGCUGGUGAAGGCGAUGCAUGACGAUUUAGGCUAAAACGAAUCCGGAGUUGGUCGGUUCUUCACAGGAUCAUGGUUCUUCAGAGGUUAAUCCACAAGUUGGUCAGUGGUUAUUGUUGGUUUAGUACCUUAUUAUGCAAUGGAUCCCGACACCCCUAUGUCUUCUGCAUUUGCUAGCCAUGGUAUUUAAGGGGCCGAGUAAGUACAUAAGUUCAUUUAAUUAUUUUUCUCGCGUCUUAUUUAUAGUUCUACAUAUGUUUUGUUUGUUUCCCGUGAACAAUAUUUUUUUUCACACUUUUGUUUGUUUUAUAUGGUUGGAAUUCAUUAGUCUAAAUAUUUUAGACACUGAAUGAAUGUUUUUAUCGCCGUACUUUUUAUGUGUAAUUUCUGAGUCCAGUUAUUUCAAUGUUUGAAAUUUGUAUAUACAAGCCA